rnacentral:lncRNA from 1 species
AAAAAUAAAAAAUCAAGGAAAUAAAAUGUUGAAAAAUAAAAAUCAAAUGAAGAAAAAUAGUAGAGAAUUUUAGAAAUUACUUUGGUAUUUUUUGGAUGUAAAAUGGAAUUUCUAUGAAUUUUAAAAGAGAACGCAAUUUAAAAUGAAAAAAGAAAAAUGAAUAAAAUCAGAAAAAACACAUAGCGUUGGAUUUGACUUCAUUAAUUAACGUGGAAGAUCCAAUAAUCACAAGGCUGAGGAGAAGAAGAGACUAUCCUAGGGGAUAAAGUAAACG